rnacentral:rRNA from 1 species
UUUUUUAAAUUGCUGUGGUAUUUUGACUAUACGAAGGUAUUGAAAUAAGAUUUUAAAUGGGUGCUAAGAGAAUGGAUGAAUGAGAAUUAACUUUUUUUAUAAAAUUAUUAAAAUUUAAAUUAAAAAUUAAAAUGUUUUUAUAGAAUUAUGGGACAAGAAGACCCUAGAACCUUAAUUUUAGAAAUAAAAUUUAAUUGGGGCAAUUUAAAAAUAAUAGGUAAUUUUUUAAAGAAAGUUGUAAAAAAUAUUUGGAAGGUACUUUAGGGAUAACAGCGUUAUUAUUUUGGAGAGUUCAUAUUGAUAAAAUAGUUUGCGACCUCGAUGUUGAAUUAAUGAGUCUUUUUGGUGUAGGAGUUAAAAAAGAGAGAUUGUUCAUCUUUUAAAUCAUUACUUGAUCUGAGUUCAGACCGGA